AGCCGGCGGAACACACAGUCCGCGGACCGCACAGUCCGCGGACCGCGGAGGCGUGAGGGGCGGCCAAUGGGCUGGUCCACUCGCAGGUCACCUGACAGUCACGCCCUCCCCAUGACCUCCUCACACGUACUUGGACAGCGCCCUGGGUUCAUGGAGGCGGUCCGGGGCUCAGACGCGUUGAGAUCCUCAGAUCCUCGUGGAGACCCCAGCAUCCCAGACAGGACAGGACGCUGCCGUCUGUUCCAGCCCCAGCCUUCCCUUCAGGUCUCUCUGGUCACCCUCAUCCAGGCCCUGCAGCAGCUUGGGGUGGUGGCGUGAACAACGGUCUCCAGAAGGGGCUUUCAUUCAGGCUCAGCAAGGCUGGUCUUCAGAGUCCAUCAGCUGGAGAGGAUUACAGCCGUGUUGUGGAGGCUCUAACCUCAUGCUGUUUCUAAGGAGAGCUGCAAAAUGUUUUUCAAGAAGCAACUUGAUGACAGCAGUAUUAUGGGAAGUCUCGAUAACCAUUUGGAUAAAGAUGAAUGUGGCAUGAGGCUGGCUCCAGCAUUCCCAGACCUGGCAGGAGAUUGAGAGUGAAAGAUUCUCCAUUUAUACAGUAACAGUCUGAAACGAUGUAUUAAUAAAUAGUGUCGAGCUUGA